rnacentral:SRP_RNA from 1 species
CCGUGCUAAGCGGGGGGUUGGUGGUCCCCUGUACCCGAAAUCCACCUAGCGGGGCUUAAUUCCCUUGCCGAGGUUUGUGGGGUCUGAAAACGGUCCUCGGUAGGGCGCUGAAGGUUGAGUCCUACGCAACAACUACCUGUGAACCGGGUCAGGUCCGGAAGGAAGCAGCCCUAAGCAGGCAAGUGUGUGCCGUAGGGGUGCUCAGCCGGAGCCCGAACCGAGGUUACGCUCAGGUCCCGCGUAAUCGAAGCAAGGGUGCACGG